CUAGCCGCGAGUGUGUAUGGCUA
rnacentral:siRNA from 1 species